UUAAUUUUGACACAUAAGAUACUUAUAUAUAUCAACGUUCAGUUAUGUAUAUGAAUAACUAAAAUUUGAGAGAAGAAAACAUUUAUUCAAAAAACUGAAAGAGAAGAUGAUUAAGCUCCAAACUAUCGAAAUUUGUAUUAUUUGUUCAAAAAAUGAUUAAUAGACUAUUUUGAGUUUUUUUUCCUCUUUGACAAUUGAGAAAGUUUUUGGUAGGGAGUGUUACCCUCGAAUAGGCCUAUUUGAUGCGAAUUUGAAUUAGUUGGACUCCAAUAUAGAUAUCGGACACUGGACACCGGAUGACGUGAGGGGCAUAUUUGGAAAUUUACAUAAUGAUAGGACCUUUUAGGUUUCAGGAAAAACUAUUUAAGAAGACGAUAGAGCUAAACUUAAACCCUAAUCUACUUGAUCUUAUCUGAGCAGUGGGCGGCGGCGAAGACGGCGGCGGAGAAUUUAACCGGCGGCGUUAGGGCGGAGCUACCGCCCUUUUUACUUAGGGUUUAUGGCAGCUCCGGUCAUCUCUUUCUCUCCGGUCAAUUCUCCGGUGCCCUUUUUCCCUGCUUUACUGCGAUGAAGACUGUUCGCCAUCUGAGCCUAUCAUAUAAAUCGGGGCGAUGACGGUUUGUGCGGACUUAAACAUAAAAAAACCUCAAAAAAGUUUUUAUUUUUAUGUGUUAUUUGCUAGAACUCAUGCAAUUUACUUGAUUUAUUGUAUUAUUGUAUUGCUUACUUGUCAUAUUUUGCUUAUCGAGAGUCAAACUAUAUAGAUUUUGACAUAUAUUAUUUAUUGCGUUGUACUUCAACUAUCAUAUUAUUUUGGUGUAGUUUUUGUCUUUUAGUCUGUGUUGGGACUAUUUUUUUCCUUAUGAGUUACUGGAAAAUAUGAGAACUGUAACCCAUAAUGCUUGAGUAUUAUAGUUUGCGAAUAUGUAAAUUUAAGCUUAAAACAUUAAAUUAUGCUAGUUUAAUUAGCUUUAAAAACCAGUCAAACUGAGACUUGAUAAACAAAACAAAGGUUUAGAUUAAUCUAGUUUAAUUUGGCUUUAAAAAUUAGUGAAGCUGAGACUUGAUAAACAAAACAAAGGUGGAAGCUGAGGGAGUACUAUUAGUUCCAUUCUGAAUAGGUGCAUCUAGAAGUAAAGUUUUGUUUUUUUAUUUGUUAGUUGCUCUAGUUCAUGCAUUUUGGUAACUGGACAAGUUGUUGCCAUUUGAUUGGGAGGUCACGGGUUCAAGCCUUUGAAAUAGUCAUUGGCAGAAAUGCAAGGUACGACUGCGUACAAUGGAUCCUUAUGGUUGGGCCCUUCCCUGGACCCUCAUAAGGGGAGCUUUAGUGCACCGAGUUGCCGCACUUUUGCUCUAGUUCAUGCAUUUUGGUUGAUUUAUUUGCUUAUGCCUCUGUACUAUCUUUUUAUCAAACUGCCUUGUUAUGUGUUACUUGAUCCAAGGUUCUUUCGGAAACAACCUCUAUAUCUCUACGAGGUAGGGUAAGGGGUUAAGGUCUGCGUAUGCUCUAUCCUCCCCACCUGUGGGAACUGGGAAUACCCUGGGGUAUGCUGUUGUGUAUAUAUUGGUAUGGUUCAUGCUUCAAAUACCUUCAUGUCUGUGGUUCUGUUUGAAGCAAGUGCUUGCAUCUCUUUAAACUGCUUUAAGUUUGAAUUUUCAGGUGUGACUAUAUACAAUAACAGAGCAUUUUGUUCCUUCUGUUUUCAGAUCUGCGUGAAGUUUGUUUUACUUUAGAUUGACGACACAUCAACUUAAUUUUUUUUUUAGUUUUUAGAUGUUUCUGUAUAUCCUAGUCAGUUAUAUUAUUAUCUAGAUGGUUAAGAGAUAGAGUUACUUCUUACUUGUGAACACCUCUUAAUUUUUUGCGUGUGUUCCUGUUUCGGAAGCAUAGAUUAAUACUUAUGCCAGUUUUAAACAGCGUGGUGAAUGUAUCUCUUUGCACACCGCUACCUGUCUUCUGGUACAAGCUUAUAAUACAAUGAUAUGCUAAUUUGUGUCUUCAGAUGUAUCACCUUCAAGUUGUGCAGCAUAUAACAUUGUUCAAGGAUAUGAAAGACAUACAUUCUUAGUACAGCUGCAUAUAGUUGACAGCUCUAGGAUGUCUAAAUUUGAUAUGUUAUUGGAUGCCACAAAUAACAGAAUUCCGCUCUUCACUUUGUCAUUGCAUGUGCGAUGCAAAUUGAGUUGGAAGUUCUGGAGAUGCAGAUCACGGCUAAAGCCUAAAGGCUGUGAAGUGGCUGUGAAGACGAGGCCUUCCUUUGCUGAUACAGACUAUGCCUUGACAACAACAAACCCAGUGUAAUCCCACUCCCAUGUGGGGUCUAGGUACGGCAGAGUGAGAUGAUACAAGACUAUGCCUCGAUGCAAACUAUUUGGUGUUUGUUCAAUACUGUUAUGAGGUUGACUUAUUUCCAGUACAAAAUCCAUGUCUUCCCUGGAGAAGUGUUGUGCACAGUUGCUAUUAUACAACGCUCUUGCUGUUAUAUGUUAGUAUGCCAUACAUACUAUAUGGUACAUACUUGUAGUUAUUGUGUUAUCAUGUAGUCUGAGUAGCAUGAUCACUUCUCAGUUCCAAAGUAUAGCCUUUUUACUCAUAGAAGGUAUGCCAAUAAAGACUUAAUGGUAAGAAACUUGA